AGAGGCACUUCUUCCAGCACUAACCCUGGAAGGGUGCUUCAGGAUCUCCGAAUCCCCACUGUACAGAUGGGAAAACUGAUGCCUAAGGAGGAGAAAGGACUUGCCCGUGGCCACACAGCGUGGUGUUCCAGUGACUCCAGCAGCUAGGAUCACGCUCUAGCUGCCGUGUGGAGACUGGACUGGAGGGAGAAGGGAGAAGACGCAAGCAGGGCAGUUAGGAGGCUGAUGCGGUGGUCCAGGUGGCCUCAGCUAGAAGAUCCUGGGAACACGGGCCGGACAUUGCCAUGGGCGACUGAAGAGGUGCCUCUUUCCUAUCCGCCUGGCAGUUAAGGCAGCGACGAAGAUCGCAGCAGGGCUGGCACGCUCUGAUUUUCUCCUGAGCGCUAAGUGGAGCUGCAAGGUGACAGAACCUCCCCGCAGUGCUCGGGUGGGACGUUCCUGUUUUAGAGCCGAGUUGCCUGAGAACCCUCUGGGAUUGGGCCCCGCCCUUCAGGGAAGAGCACCCGGCAGAGUGUUGUAUCCAGGACUGACCAGCAGGGGGCGAGCCAGACUCGGAAAUGACCAUUGCUGAGACCUGGGUGAAUCUUGCUGCUGUUUCCAACUCAAGAAGUCUGGUUUUUCCUGGACCCCUGCCCUUGAAGACAACCAGAGACCAGACUGAAAAACCCCAUGGACCGUGGACGUGUUUCAUCUCUCAUUCCUCCCUGGGGAGUAGAGAAUUGACUUAUGCCCAUUGUCCUUGUAUGAUAAAUGAUUGAAAAUAACUUUUUAGUACGGUAGAGGCUAAUUUCUUUACUUUGUAUUCUAUAAUUUGUUGAUUUUUAAGAGAAAAGGGAAAAAACUCCCUUUGGGAUGCGACAUUCACAGAAUUCGUGCUAGAAAGGUCUUAGAUUGUAU
rnacentral:lncRNA from 1 species